GAGAGUGCUUUUUAAAAAGUAACUUAUUUAUUCUAUUUUGGAUGCGUCUCAAAAGUGUUCCUAAUUUAUUUAAACCCGCGCCCUUCAUCUUCAGAAACCUCACCACCACCUUCGCUGUUUUCACCCCUUCACCUUUGCUCACCACCACUCACCGGCGCCCUUCUCCUUCGUCUUCAUCUUCGCUCACCGGCGCCCUUCACCUUCAUCUUUGAUGCCCUGUACGCCGCGUACCCCGACCGUAGCGCCGCUACCAGCGAUGUUGUUAGCAGGACGAUUCUCCCUCCGCCAUCGCGCUUCACUCUGUUCGUUGCCUCCACAAGAACGCGCCCGGGGUGUUCACGCUACUCACCAUCGUUACCUUUGUCUCACUCUGUAUCCUCUCUGAAUCUCUACAUCUAGAAUGGAGAUGCCUCAGGGGUUUAGGGGUUUUGAGAUGUUCGUCACUUCCUUCAUCCGCUCCUUGCGGCAUCAUUCACGUCGUCUUCUCCAUUCUCCAUUAGCGUCACAGCAUCUUCUCUCUUCUUCGCCGCUAGCGUCGCGUCGUCUACUCUCUUCUCCGUCGUGAGCGUCGCAUCUUGUCAUCUUCUUCUAUGGACUUGUUCGUCUUCUCCACCGAUGCAAUAGUUUCGUUCAUCAUCUCUGCCAGCGCAACCUUACUUGCCGCUUUCUGCUCUGGCUCCCUUCGUCUCUGGGAAGGAAGGAGGGCAAAUCUUUGUAAGAGUGAGCAAUAUGUAUGCCAGUGUUGUAAUUUUUGCAACUUCAAUAAUAUACUUUUUCAAUAGCUUCUACUUUCAGAAGCUUGCUGAUUUAGACAGAGAUCCAUCAAGUGCUUGUGACGGUAAAGCAGCAUUUCAACGCGUUUACAAAUGGACAAGAAAACUGAACCUUUUUGAGAAGGAUUAUAUCUUUAUUCCUGUUAACUACAGGUGAGAGGUUUAUACAUGUGCCUUGCUUGCCCUUUUGGAAUUUGCUGCAUCCUAAUAAGAAUUACUGGUGCCUUGAUGACAGUCUUCACUGGAAUUGAUUGUCAUUUGUCAUCCUAGUGAAGUGAUAAGCUUCAAAGGCAAGAUAUCUUAUUUGCCUAUCAAUUUAUAUUCAAUAUUUUAUUAUAGAUUGAAACACAAAAGUAAUAGCUGAUUAUCCACAAAAAGGUAGGUAGGUGGAAGCAGUCUAUUACCUUGUCAAAGAAGGAUAACCUCUAUAUGGAUGCCAUGGAGACAGCCUCACAAUCUGGUGAUCAUGAACUUGCGGAGGAGUUGCUCGUUCAUUUAAUUGAUCAGUUGUGGCAAUGGCUUCUCAGCUUUCCGAGGCAAAGAAACGAGAACGGGCCUUUACGAAUAGGGGAUGCUGGAAUCAGUUGCAGUUAAUGGGAAAAGCCAAGAAUUUGCUUCAAUAUAUGUUCAACUCGGUCAUGCUAGGUGCUCUAUUUGACGUCUCUGCUAUCAGAAGAUUAAUGACUUUUAUUAGAAGAUAGUUAUGUAGAAUAUAAUAUUUUUGUUUUUCUUAGUUUAUUAGUAGUAAAUUCUAAGUGGUAUAAUGUAUAUUUUGAUAUGGACAUGCUUAAUUUUUAGUGUGAGAUGUAUGAAUAUUCAAUUAUGAUCAUUCCAAUAUUUUUAGUUCAUUAUAAAUAUAUUUUGUUUAAGGAUAA